CUUAACUGUAAAGUUUUUUCGAU
rnacentral:snRNA from 1 species